rnacentral:rRNA from 1 species
ACGGAAGCAGCAGUGGGGAAUAUUGCACAAUGGGGGAAACCCUGAUGCAGCGACGCCGCGUGAGUGAAGAAGUAUUUCGGUAUGUAAAGCUCUAUCAGCAAGGAAGAAAAUGACGGUACUUGACUAAGAAGCUCCGGCUAAAUACGUGCCAGCAGCCGCGGUAAUACGUAUGGAGCAAGCGUUAUCCGGAUUUACUGGGUGUAAAGGGAGCGUAGACGGCAAAGCAAGUCUGAAGUGAAAUCCCGGGGCUCAACCCCGGAACUGCUUUGGAAACUGUUUAGCUAGAGUGCAGGAGAGGUAAGCGGAAUUCCUAGUGUAGCGGUGAAAUGCGUAGAUAUUAGGAGGAACACCAGUGGCGAAGGCGGCUUACUGGACUGUAACUGACGUUGAGGCUCGAAAGCGUGGGGAGCAAACAGGAUUAGAUACCCUGGUA